UACAGAGGGGGCUAGCGUUGUUCGAAAUUACUGGGCGUAAAGCGCACGUAGGCGGCUUUGUAAGUUAGAGGUGAAAGCCCAGGGCUCAACCCUGGAAUUGCCUUUAAGACUGCAUCGCUUGAACAUCGGAGAGGUAAGUGGAAUUCCGAGUGUAGAGGUGAAAUUCGUAGAUAUUCGGAAGAACACCAGUGGCGAAGGCGACUUACUGGACGAUUGUUGACGCUGAGGUGCGAAAGCGUGGGGAGCAAACAGG
rnacentral:rRNA from 1 species